GUGGGGAAUUUUGGACAAUGGGCGCAAGCCUGAUCCAGCCAUUCCGCGUGCAGGAUGAAGGCCCUCGGGUUGUAAACUGCUUUUGGACGGAACGAAAAGGCCUUUCCUAAUACGGGGGGCUCAUGACGGUACCGUCAGAAUAAGCACCGGCUAACUACGUGCCAGCAGCCGCGGUAAUACGUAGGGUGCAAGCGUUAAUCGGAAUUACUGGGCGUAAAGCGUGCGCAGGCGGUUAUGUAAGACAGGUGUGAAAUCCCCGGGCUUAACCUGGGAACUGCAUUUGUGACUGCAUAGCUAGAGUACGGUAGAGGGGGAUGGAAUUCCGCGUGUAGCAGUGAAAUGCGUAGAUAUGCGGAGGAACACCGAUGGCGAAGGCAAUCCCCUGGACCUGUACUGACGCUCAUGCACGAAAGCGUGGGGAGCAAACAGGAUUAGAAACCCUGGUAGUCC
rnacentral:rRNA from 1 species